GCCAGUGUGGCAUAAUGGUUUGAGUGUUACACUAUGACUCUGGAGGACAAAGUUCAAUUCCCAGCUCGGCCA